rnacentral:snRNA from 3 species
GUCCCUUCGCGGACAUCCGAUAAAAUUGGAACGAUACAGAGAAGAUUAGCAUGGCCCCUGCACAAGGAUGACACGCACAAAUCGCGAAAUGGUCCAAUUUUUU